UUUUCGUUCAAAUAGGACGGGUCUUGAAGGCAGGAACCAUCCGAAGUGCUACAGUCGAAGAGGUCACAUCUAGUUGUCUUCAUCCUGUGGUGCUGAGCAGAAGUUGAGACGUCCGUCUUCAGUCUGUCGUUUUGCAGCCUUCAGCCGCUUCACUGUAACAUUGUCACCGUCCUACUAACGGGUCUUGGAUGUAGAAACCAUCCGAAGUGCUACAGUUGAAGAGGUCACAUCUAGUUGUCUUCAUCCUGUGGUGCUGAGCAGAAGUUGAGACGUCCGUCUUCAGUCUGUCGUUUUGCAGCCUUCAGCCGCUUCACUGCAACAUUGUCAUCGUCCUACUGACGGGUUUUGAAGGCAGAAACCAUCCGGGGUCCUAAAGUUGAAGAGGUCACAUAGUUGUCUUCAUCCUGUGGUGCUGAGCAGAAGUUGAGACGUCCGUCUUCAGUCUGUCGUUUUGCUGCCUUCAGCCACUUCACUGCAACAUU